AAAAUGCUACAAUAUCUGGAGUGGGUGUGAUCCCACGUCGAAUCUCGUCUAACUAGAACCGAACAAACAAACACGUUCCCCAUGCGGGCUGAUGAAUUCUAAAUCCUUGCACCCAAACAUCAUUCUUCAACGUAAAAUCAGGCACAGCGGUUGAAAUCUCGACAGACGAGUCCAGUCCCAGUCCCAGUCCCAGACAGGCAUUCUUCAAAUUUCGUAACAUAGUUUUCGUGCGUUGUUGAUCAUCGGCUUCUUCUG
rnacentral:misc_RNA from 1 species